rnacentral:rRNA from 1 species
GGACUACUGGGGUAUCUAAUCCUGUUUGCUACCCACGCUUUCGUAGUUGAGUGUCAGUACUUGUCCAGGUCGCCGCCUUCGCCGCUGGUGUUCCUCCCGAUCUCUACGCAUUUCACCGCUACACCGGGAAUUCCACGACCCUCUCCAAGACUCUAGUCUCACCGUUUCUAGGGCACUUCUUGAGUUAAGCUCAAGGCUUUCACCCCAGACAAAUGAGACCACCUACCUACCCUUUACGCCCAAUAAUUCCGAGCAACGCUUGCACCCCUCGUAUUACCGCGGCGGCUGGCAC